UACGUAGGCAGCAAGCGUUGUUCGGAAUUACUGGGCGUAAAGAGUGUGUAGGCGGUGCUCUAAGUCUGUUGUGAAAUCUCCCGGCUUAACUGGGAGGGUGCGGCGGAGACUGGAGUGCUAGAGUGUGGGAGAGGUAAGCGGAAUUCCUGGUGUAGCGGUGAAAUGCGUAGAUAUCAGGAGGAACACCGGUGGCGAAGGCGGGUCUCUGGGCAGUAACUGACGCUGAGGAGCGAAAGCGUGGGGAGCGAACAGG
rnacentral:rRNA from 1 species